ACGCUGACAGAAUGCUUAACACAUGCAAGUCUUUGGCGAAGCUGUGCUUGCACAGCCUAGCCAAGGCGGACGGGUGAGUAACGCGUAAGGAACUUGCCCUGCAGUCAGGGAUAACAGACGGAAACGACUGAUAAGACCUGGUAAAGUCAGGCGGACUCAUGUCCAGCCUGAUGAAAAGAGAUGCUGCAGGAGAGCCUUGCGUCCUAUUAGCUUGUUGGUGGGGUAACGGCCCACCAAGGCGAUGAUAGGUAGCCGGCCUGAGAGGGUGGACGGCCACAAGGGGACUGAGAUACGGCCCUUACUCCUACGGGAGGCAGCAGUGGGGAAUACUGGACAAUGGGGGCAACCCUGAUCCAGCAAUUCUGUGUGCACGAUGAAGGUUUUCGGAUUGUAAAGUGCUUUCAGCAGGGAAGAAAAAAAAUGACGGUACCUGCAGAAGAAGCGACGGCUAAAUACGUGCCAGCAGCCGCGGUAAUACGUAUGUCGCAAGCGUUAUCCGGAAUUAUUGGGCAUAAAGGGCAUCUAGGCGGCCAGAUAAGUCUGGGGUGAAAACUUGCGGCUCAACCGCAAGCCUGCCCUGGAAACUAUGUAGCUAGAGAACUGGAGAGGUGGACGGAACUGCACGAGUAGAGGUGAAAUUCGUAGACAUGUGCAGGAAUGCCGAUGAUGAAGAUAGUUCACUGGACGGUAACUGACGCUGAAGUGCGAAAGCUAGGGGAGCAAACAGGAUUAGAUACCCUGGUAGUCCUAGCUGUAAACGAUGAUUACUGGGUGUGGGCAUGAAGAGUGUCCGUGCCGAAGCUAAUGCGAUAAGUAAUCCGCCUGGGGAGUACGGCCGCAAGGCUGAAACUCAAAGGAAUAGACGGGGACCCGCACAAGCGGUGGAGCAUGUGGUUUAAUUCGACGCAACGUCGAGGA
rnacentral:rRNA from 1 species